GUAUUCUUUCACAUCUCCUCCUACCCCUUUCUUUCUCCCACUGUCUCAUUCUCUACAUGCCUCCCAUCCUCAACCUCUCUCUCUCACUCACUCACUCAUCGCCUUACCACUUCUUCCUAUCCCUCCCUUUCAUCUGCUCUCACUCCCCCCCUCCACCUCCCUAACCUCUCUCGCUUUCUCUCUUCUCAUCUCGCUGUCCUUCUCUCUUUCACUCACUUCCCCUUGCAGUUUACAGCAAUGCCACAAUGGAAGUUGGUGGUUAGAGAUAUACCAACAGGAAACGAAAAGGCAUGCCAAGAUUUUAGCUCUAGCUGCCAACCACAGUAACUUGGAUACUGCCAGCUUUUUGAAUAUGACCGGGUUCUUCAUAUUCGGGGUUGGGAAAGUGUUGGACAUGUCGUUUGUAGCCAGAGGAGAAAAUCAUUCUCAGCAGUCAGACAUCAUUUCAAUGGCCAAGUUCAACCAGCAGAUCCAGGCCAUCAUCAAUAACUCCACUGAGUUAAUAAGGACUACUUCCAAGCAGUUAAAGAUAGCAGAAUCCAUUAUCAGAAGUGUAGUGCAAGUGGGUAUCAGGUAAAGGCCUACAUGAUAAGUAAGGGUCAGUUCAUGUAUCACAAGACCCAGGCAAAUUAUGUAAUCAUGUGAUUCCCAGUAUCACUUGACCUUCUAGUGUGCCGUAUUUGAACUUGGAGCAUCAUCAAAGGGAUAAGAAUUAGCCAACAGUUCUGCAGUGCCACAGACAUGUUGGGGUGGGGGUAGGAUCUUCUGUUGUGGGUGUGGCAGAAGACAUUGUCAGAGGAUACCUGAUGGCAGUUGUUUCCAUGGCUGCAUUGGGGCCUUCAUUAGGGUUCAGAGUGGUUUUAUUUCUUUGAUGUAUCGACUUGAACAUCUGCGUUAUUUUGCUGGGUGUAUCCAUUGCUACUGUUUGGUAUUCUGGCUUUUUCUUCUUUGGUUUUAUUCUCAGUUGCCUGGCACAUCCUGAGUGUACGUGAGUGGUUGGUGGUGGUGGUUGGUGAUGGUGGUGGUUGGUGAUGGUGGUGUUGGUGGUGGAAGGUCUCUUGGGGCAGGAUGCAUAUAAUGUAACUCAAACCUAACUCAAUUUCAAGUACAGUCAACUUUAAAAGCAAUAAAUAGCAAACAAAGUCUUGAGAAAACAUAAGAAGAAAAAUAUUUAUUAAAGUAUAAUUUCAUGGCUUCAGUUAUUGGAAAGUUAACACAUAGCACAUCCAAAAUGUAUGUAAAAUUGUAGAAGUGAAAUUACAAAACAGACAUGGUGCUGGUCUUUCAGUCUAAAAAUCUCGAAUUCAAAUCCACAGAGCUGUAGCAUGUCUGUGAGUGAUUUUAUACCAGUCAGUCAGGUGGCCCGUUUCUGAAUAUGGUCUACGAUUUUCGUGUGUGCACUAUCCCGGAUGUAAAAGCAAUACUCCAUGCUGGGCGUCACCUGAGCUUUGUAGUGUUCAAUUUAACAUCAACUCUUACCUCUCUCUGGUAUGCCUUUAGCAGAAUCUAGGCUUUGGAAAACAAUCAGGCAAAGUCUCUGCUCUGGGAAUAACUUCUUCACUUCCUCGCUUCAGUGCCCUUGAAAAGGGUCGUGAGCAUUGCUUUUCCUUCCCUAUAUCAUAUGCAGUGAACGUGGUUGCAUUUUGUUCCCCAAGAAUUCACAGAAGAUGGUAAACAACAAAAGCUAAAAACUCAUUUAAAAAGCUAAUCUAUAAGGUGUUUCAAAAUCCACAUAUACCUUUAAUGCACAACACCCGGCCCUUUUUACUCAAAUAGUUGGAAGCUGAGAUGAUCCUUAUUUCUUCCUCCCUUUUUCCCUACUGCAUCCUACAUAAACUGUUUUUCAGUGGAAACAGUUCAAUAUCAAAAUUUGUGAGAUUCUCAAGUCAUCUAAUAAUCAAAGCACCAAAUACUAUAUUUAUACAAGAGUGAGCAUGUAUGUGUACAUAUACGUAUAUGAGUAUACCUGUAUGUAUAUGUGUGUGUGUGUGUGUAACCAGAACUAAGUCAUAAUUUCAUGUGCUUCAAAAACAGAAAUUUUGUCAUUUAUACAGGUGUUUGUAGAGAGUAUCUGUCAAACCAAUGACAACAUGGAAAAAUAAAAACAAACAAUAAACUGAUAAUGAAGAUAAGGAGAUAGAGUGGUGUGAGAAGAGAAUGGGGAAGGCGCAGGAAUGCGAGAUAGAAGCGGUGUGAGAAGAGAAUGGAGAAGGAGCAGCAAUGCAUUUGCACUGACAUAAAAUGCUAUCAAGAACAUUUGUUUCUAUAACAUAAUACAAAAUGCAACAAGAUGUUUGCUUUUAUUUUGCUAUCUGUAUCAAGAAUCCGGGUUAUAUCUCUUAAUAUAACAGUUUCCUUAUCUGUCUUGUUCAUCAAAUGAUUCCAAUUUCUAAUUAUUGGAGAUUUCAUUUGUUUAUUUCUUUAGCUUUCAUUUUAUCAUCUUCAAUUUAGUGUCUUUUGCUAGAAGAAUAAAGGCAACAGCAUGCCAAUUGAUAUGGAAAACCUCA
rnacentral:lncRNA from 1 species